UUUGAUAUAAGCCCACCAUGGAAUUGGAUCUAAAACCCAAUGGUUACACCGACCUGAACCAACCCAACAUCAAAACUCCUUCCAUCAUCUUCAACCUUUGAAAAUAUCAAUGGUACUUUAGUUUUAAUCCCAACCGCCAUCUACAUAACAGAACAGUCAACUCUUUCAAGUUUUGCUUAUUUAUAGCAUAAUACAUCAACAAUAUUCACAACAGUCAAUAGUUAUUACAAAUCAACAGCAAACAAAGAAUCUAAAUCAAAUAUAUUAGCUUAGAUCUAGGAAUUUAGAGUAUAAGCUACUCUUACCAGAAUUUCAAAUAGAAAAGAAGCUCGCUCAGAUCAGAGGGCAUCGCGUCGUGCACCAGGUCAUCGUUCCUCAUUCUCAUUCUUCUCCUUUGCGACCAACGGGUCGCGCAGCACCUCGGGGCCAUGCAACCCACCUCUCUUUGGCUGCCGGCUCAACACUCCUCGACCUCACAUGCUGCGCACACCAGGCAAGGAUCUUUUCCUUUUCAGCCUCCCUCCUCCUUCGGCUGCUCGUUCCUCCCUCUUCUCCCUCUCUUUUCUCUCUCUCUCUAUUUUGGCUCUCCUCUUCCGAAUUUGAGGAAAAGUGGUUAGGGUUUCCUUUUUUAUACCUUUCAUCUUAACCGUCUGAUCGUCCUAGAUCCAAUCUGAGCUGUUCAAGCAUAUCUGAAUUGAGAGCUGUUGGAUCGGCUCCAAACGUUGAGAUCUUGGCCGUCCAUUUUUUAUCUUUGUAUCUACCCCUUCUAUUCUUUGUUAAUUAUGGUUUUAACCCCAUUUUCCAUGAAAAUUAUUCUUUUAGGUCUCAUAAAUUUAAAAGACCUCUAAUUUUAAAAAUUUAUUCAGUUAAGCCCCAAACCCUUAAUUUAAUUGAUUUAAUUUCUAGAUUUUAAAUUUCUUCAUAUUUAUUUAAUUAUUUACAAUCUUUUAAAUUUAUAUUUAAAAAAAAAUGGAUAUUACGACUUUCUAAAUUUAUCUCUUAAUUAAAAAUGAAGAGAUAAAUUAAAUAACACUUAGAAAAAAAAUUAAAAUAUUAUAAUAUAUAAGCAUAUAAUCCUUUGUCCCUUAGAGUGCCUCAUAACCGUCUUUACAACUUUCUAGUGUUUAAUUCCUAGAUCACUUUGGUAUCUUCCUAACAUACUAACAACAUAACUGAUAUUUCGUUUAGUAUAAGUUUGAGCGUAUAUCAAGCUUCCCACAACAGAUGUAUAAGUAUUUUUUUUUCAUCCAUUCCUUUUCUAAGUCAUUCAUUG
rnacentral:lncRNA from 1 species